UACGUAGGGGGCUAGCGUUGUCCGGAAUCAUUGGGCGUAAAGCGCGCGUAGGCGGCCCGGUAAGUCCGCUGUAAAAGUCCAGGGCUCAACCCUGGAAAGCCGGUGGAUACUGUCGGGCUCGAGUCCGGAAGAGGCGAGUGGAAUUCCUGGUGUAGCGGUGGAAUGCGCAGAUAUCAGGAGGGACACCAAUGGCGAAGGCAGCUCGCUGGGACGGUACUGACGCUAAGGCGCGAAAGCGUGGGGAGCGAACAGG
rnacentral:rRNA from 1 species